AGGACGAACGCUGGCGGCGUGCUUAACACAUGCAAGUCGAGCGGUAAGGCCUUUCGGGGUACACGAGCGGCGAACGGGCGAGUAACACGUGGGUGAUCUGCCCUGCACUUCGGGAUAAGCCUGGGAAACUGGGUCUAAUACCGGAUAUGACCUCCUAUCGCAUGGUGGGUGGUGGAAAGAUUUAUCGGUGCAGGAUGGGCCCGCGGCCUAUCAGCUUGUUGGUGGGGUAAUGGCCUACCAAGGCGACGACGGGUAGCCGACCUGAGAGGGUGACCGGCCACACUGGGACUGAGACACGGCCCAGACUCCUACGGGAGGCAGCAGUGGGGAAUAUGCACAAUGGGCGAAAGCCUGAUGCAGCGACGCCGCGUGAGGAUGACGGCCUUCGGGUUGUAAACCGUCUUUCAGCAGGACGAAGCGCAAGUGACGUACUGCAGAAGAAGCACCGGCUAACUACGUGCCGAGCAGCCGC
rnacentral:rRNA from 1 species